rnacentral:rRNA from 1 species
UGUAUGAAGGGUUGGAUGAGAUAUAAACUGUCUCAAAAAUAAUUAAUUGAAUUUAAUUUUUUAAUUAAAAAGUUAAAAUAUGUUAAAAAGACGAGAAGACCCUAUAGAGUUUUAUAUUAAAUAAUAUUUAAAUUAUUUAUAAAUUUCAUUAAUUAUAAAUUUUAUUUAAUAUUUUGUUGGGGUGAUAGAAAAAUAAAAAAAACUUUUUUUAAAAAUAGUCAUUAAUAAGUGAAUAAUUGAUCCAAUUUUAUUGAUUAUAAGAAAAAAUUACCUUAGGGAUAACAGCGUAAUUUUUUUUUUUAGUUUUUAUAAAAAAAAAAGUUUGCGACCUCGAUGUUGGAUCAGGACAA